AUUGAACGCUGGCGGCAUGCCUUACACAUGCAAGUCGAACGGUAACAGGUCUUCGGAUGCUGACGAGUGGCGAACGGGUGAGUAAUACAUCGGAACGUGCCUAGUAGUGGGGGAUAACUACUCGAAAGAGUGGCUAAUACCGCAUGAGAUCUACGGAUGAAAGCAGGGGAUCGCAAGACCUUGUGCUACUAGAGCGGGCGAUGGCAGAUUAGGUAGUUGGUGGGAUAAAAGCUUACCAAGCCGACAAUCUGUAGCUGGUCUGAGAGGACGAUCAGCCACACUGGGACUGAGACACGGCCCAGACUCCUACGGGAGGUAGCAGUGGGGAAUUUUGGACAAUGGGCGCAAGCCUGAUCCAGCUAUGCCGCGUGCAGGAUGAAGGCCUUCGGGUUGUAAACUGCUUUUGUACGGGACGAAAAGCCCUGGGUUAAUACCCUGGGGUCAUGACGGUACCGUAAGAAUAAGCACCGGCUAACUACGUGCCAGCCGCCGCCGUAACAC
rnacentral:rRNA from 1 species